UUGAUUGAUUAGUUUGGUCUAGAGAGAAAGCUCUGUUUGGAUUAGCCGUCCUGUUGUUUGUAUUGCUAAACGGAAGCGGCGAAGAUGGAUAUGUUUGGACGUUACUUUUAUUCUCCCGUUUACGGUAGUCAAAGUAUUCGACUGUUUUAGUUAAGACAGUUUUUUGACACACUAGACUUUUUUUUUUUUUUUUUAACUAUAUAUGAAAAGAACGUGGCACUUCAGGCUCGCUUUGUUUACACUGCGGCAGAUGGUUAACACAACCGCGUAUGUUAACCUAGUUACUUUAUACUUCUAAUGAUGGAGUCACAAUGCGAGUAUUUCAUAUAUUUUCCCGCCGCUCCGAUAUCGAGUUUGUCAGACCCGGCGGAGUACACAACUCUUCCGCGGCGAAAGCACGUCUACCUGGGGGAGAUAGUCCAGUUCCUGCUGGUCCUGCGGUCUCGGAACACAACGGUGGGGAGGGAUGACAGCUCCGGCGGUUUACCUUGGAAGGACCUGGCGGGUUCUUUGUCUGCUCUGGCCAGUGUGUGCGUCGCCGAAAGCCGGCAGCAGAGACCCAGCGAGUACCAAGCCGAUAUCCGCAGCACCUGCAGCGAGGACGACGGGGAAGAGGAGCCCGAAGAGAGGGAAUCUGGAGGGAAAAAGCCGCCGGACAGUAACCGGACUUUCAUACAGUGCAGCCCGCAUCUCAUUCACAACAGCUCGACCAGGGAUGGGCAGCAGUCUGGGAGGGAACCGGUGAAGGCUGCUCUGGUGUUGGACGACCAGGUUGUCUUCUGUCUCACCGUCUCGUUGGACAAGCUGCCAGUCAACACGCUUACAGCCAAGAUCGUAGUGACCAUGUGGAGGCCGGAGGAUGAGAAGGCGGAGGUGAGGGAACAUGGCUACCUGACUCUCCUGCAGCUCCGGAGUCCAAUUCACACCUUCAGGCAGGACUUCGACACCUUCAAGGCCCAGGUCAGCACCACCGUGCAUGUUCUCCCACCUCCCAGUGUCCAGUUUCAGCACAUGAUUGUCUCUGGAAAACACCUGACUGUCCUUAAAGUGUUGAACUGCAGCUCUCAGGAUGAGGUGUGUGUCAGAGAUGUGAAGAUCCUUCCUAACUACAACCUGUCCUACCUCCCCAUGAUGCCAGAUGGUUCAGUUCUCAUAGUCGACAACGUCUGCCACCAAUCAGCUGAGGUCACAGUGGCUUCAUUCUAUCGGAUGGACAGCGAGUCGUCGCGUUUACCCAGCAUGCUCAGCGCCCUGGAGGAGCAGAACUUCCUGUUCCAACUGCAGCUACAGGACACAGCAGAGGAGGACUCCAGUGAGGGUUUGGAAGUCCCGUUGGUGGCUGUGUUACAGUGGUACACUCCGACACUGCCUCUAACAAGAUACAUCUCUAGUUGUUACGCGCUGCCCAGUAUCCGCUUGGAUCGACCACGGCUGGUGAUGACAGCUUCCUGUCCUCGUGCCGUCAGGCCUCUGGAGCACUUCUGGGUAAAAUACACCCUGCUCAACAACUUGCAGGACUUCCUGGCUGUCCGUCUGAUCUGGAACUCUGACGCUGAUAGAGGAAGCCAGCAGGAUCCCAGGGCCCACCCGGCAGUGGUGUGCCAGUCCCCUCUCAACAACCUGGGCCAGUGUAGGAAGGGCUCCACCCUCUCCUUCACCGUGGCCUUCCAGAUCCUCAGGACUGGACUCUUUGAGUUGAGCCAGCACAUGAAGCUGAAGCUGCAGUUCACAGCCUCGGUGUCCACCCCCCCCGUGGAGGUCGGAUCCCCGCCGAGGAACUGUCCAUCGUCAGUCAGAGAGCUGCUGGACAGACAGAGCCUGGGCCGCUCUCAGAGCUUCUCCCACCAGCCACAGCCCAGGGCUCACCACGUCAGGUCCGGCAGCGCCAUGGAGCAUCGGAGCAUCACUCCUCCUGCAGGAUCUCCAGCGGGCAGAGGCCGGUACCUGCCGCCCAGCCACAGCCUCAUCUCACUGGACAAAAUAGCCAAGAGAGAGUGUAAGGUGUUGGUGCUGGAGCCGGUCCAAGAGGCACACAGCCGAUGACCUGGAGAGACCCAUACAUCAGUGUUUGGUCCCUCUGUCCAGCCGCCAGAGCUUCCACCCUGUGCCCUGAAGGCAACACGGCGUGGACGCAGUGAUGGAAGGAGGAGCAGAGGAGCGCUGAUUGGCCAGAGAGGAGGAGGAGGAGGAGGAGGAGGUGAUGAGAGGACAGAGAGAGGAAGGAUAUAAAUCAGGAAACCCCAGACUGCCUGCGUGCGUCAGGCCUGGGAGCACGGAAUAAGCUGGAUGGAUCCAGUAGCUGCCAAAAUCUCCCAGAUACAUCGAUAUCGAAGUCCCACCCAUACACCCGACGGACCAAUCCUGAGUCAAUCCCAGCUGUCAAUCCUGACAUUUCACCCUGUUAUUAUAGCAUCAAAGAACUAAUAAAAACCAAACUUCUCAGUAAAAUGGACAUGAACAAAUAUAGGGAUAUCUGUUUGCAAUGGGCAAUUUUCACCAUUUUCCUGAAACUUUAUAGACACAACGAUUAAUCGAGAAAAAGAAUCAGCAGAUUAUUCGAUAAUUAAAAUAAGCGUUAGUUGCAGCACCUACAGUCUAUUCAUCGACCCCUGGUUUCAACAUGACAAUGCCUCCCCCACCAGAAGAGUGGACGCUCUUAUAGCAGCACAUUAAGCCCCCCAUGGUGUCAGAUGUUCCACUGUCCACAUACUUUUGGCCAUACAGUGUAGCUUGUUAGCAACUAUGCGUAGUCCCCAAAGUCAGCUAGGUUUCGGUCACUUAGAAAAACCCUAACCCUAAGAGAACAGGGGGCCACUGUUGGGUUAGGGCCAACAUGUAGUUCUAGGGUUAGGGCUAACAUGUAGUUCUAGGGUUAGGGCCAACAUGUAGUUCUAGGGUUAGGGCCAACAUGUAGUUCUAGGGUUAGGGCUAACAUGUAGUUCUAGGGUUAGGGCUAACAUGUAGUUCUAGGGUUAGGGCCAACAUGUAGUUCCAACAACAACUGCUACAGCGGUGCACUACACAAGAUACAACAUGUCAAUCAGACAGCUGUGGGCUCCAUGCAGAGGGGAUUAGUCUCUCUCUUGACAGAGCUAGGCUAGCAGUUCCCCCACUGCUUCCAGUCUAUGUGCUAAGCUAAACGUGUCCUGAAACUACUCAUGUGCUCUAAACGUGAUUCUGGGUAUGACAAAAAAUAGGGAAGUUCACUUCCCACAAUAUCAGACCGCGCCUUUUAAAUAAGCUCAGGCAGAAGUUCCCAUCUGGGAGGUUUAAAUUACAAUCUCUUUAUUCUACUCGCUUAGGUUUCGUCUUCAGUAUCGGAAACAAUUAAUCCGUAAUUACAAGUGAUACUGAAAGGUUUAAGGUUACAAAUUGUAUGUUUUUUUUAUUAUAACAACUACAGAACUGGAUGACAGCUGCGUGUUGUCCUACACCUUCCCUAGCAGGAAGUGGUUUGCACUCAGACUGACUUCUAUCGGUCCAUUUUUUGAAUUUGAGUAUUGAGUGUGAUCCAGCUCCAUACAGUAGUCUUUACACUGGCUUAUUUAUUUAAAUGCAUUUGUCUUAAUGAUGCCUUCAUUUAUUGGCAAUGUUUUUGUUGAUUAUUUUUUUGACCUGUUACAUAGACUCUGUGGUGUGACAGUGUACCAGCACCUUUUACAGUGUGGUCCCCUUAUUUCAUUCAUUGUCCAGUAAUUCAAAACCCCCUAGCAACGUAACGUAUGUUACAUGAUGGCUGCUAAUGACUCCCGUGUAGAAUGGGUGAGCCUCAAUGUGUGAGAGUCACAUCAAGGGCCACACAUGUACAGUUCAUUGACAUGAUUUGAUUUAACUGAAAAAGUCAAAUAUAUUUGACAGUACUAUUGCCCGUCUCAUAUAGUCUUAAGUACAAUUUGGUCGACAUAAAGCCCUAAAAAAAAGUCAGCAAAAAAAAAUUACUUUACUUUAUAGCCACCCCAAUUUAGGAAAUCUAGAAAAACAAUGAUUACAUUACAAUGUUUCGGGUACUAAUUAAAGAGAAAACCGAGACAAUUCUUUGAGUGGAUUUCAUUCAUUCAUUUCCAGAAUAAUUUCAUUUGUUGAAAUCUUAAUGUGAAUAUUCAUGUAUUUGUAUGUAUUCAUGUAAUUGUUAUUGGAAACUGUAUUCUUCAUACAGGUGUUGAAUUGUUUGACUGUUGGACAAUGUUCACCAACUAUAAGACUCAGGAUUGAAAAGCAAUUCACUGGAGUACAAUAAUUGGAAGUAUGCCCAGUCAGCGUGGUCUCCGUAGCCCAAUAAUUAGUUCCAAAUGACAUUGUUCUUUUCCAAGAAAAGUGCAUUGAAUUUCCAGUUACACAUCAGUUCCUUUUCAGGAAAUGACUAGGAAACUAUGGGGCUGGUUAAAAAAAAAAAAGAAGCUUACAGGCUAAAAAAAUGAACGUGUGGUUGGUAGUAACAGAAAAAAAAGGUGCGUACACAUUAACAUGUUGGUGUAUUGUCACUAAUUUACACUUGAUUGCCAAUUGAAUGUGUGUAAAUUUCCUAUUGUGAGAUUGGUUUUUAAACUUUCUGCUGCAGCUUGCUCACAGAUGUGCGCACACACACACACACACACACACACACAGACACACACACACACAGGAAUGUACAUUUCACCCCACAUUAACCGAGUGUUGACAGAAAGUCUAACUUACUGAUUUACUGUAAAUACUCGAGAGGCAUUACCAGAAAUGCUGUUUAAAGCAAAAAGACAAUGGUGUUGGAGGAAAGGCCAUGGUUGGUCCCUCUAAGAGCCUGACUGUACUGUUAAUGUGACCUUUACCUCAAAGUCUUGGCGAUCCAGUAUCUUACUGAAAAUGUUGAGAGGGUUCAUCCUCUGGCGAGCGUAAAUGUCGUUGCCGUUAUUCGGCACAUUAGAUGUGGAUGUUUCUAUAAUGUUAGUCUCUCAUUGGCAGACCUGCCUCCACAGCGCUGCGGAGUAAGGUCUGGCUAGUCCAUAGAUACCAGGACCGGUCACCGAAACAUUCAGGAUCAUCCCUCUGUGACCGUAAAUGUCCAGAGCAAAUGUCGGGUAAAUCUGACGUUGAUUUGUCACCGACCAAAAGUGUUGGUUAGGGGGCAGUCUAGUCUAGUCUCGCAUUGCCGGACCUUCCUCCACAGCGCUGCGGAGGAAGGUCUGGCUAGUCCACACAGCAUUCUGG